AAGUCGUAACAAGGUUUCCGUAGGUGAACCUGCGGAAGGAUCAUUACCGAAUUGUCAACAAGGGUUGUUGCUGGCCCCUGCAUGGGGGCAUGUGCACGCUCUGUUUACACAUCCACUCACACCUGUGCACCCUCUGUAGUUCUAUGGCCUGGGUGGCCCUGUCAUCCUGCUGUGGUUCUACGUAUUUACACACACGCAACGAAAUAAAGUCUAAUGGAAUGUAUGUCGCGUUUAACGCAAUGAAAUACAACUUUCAGCAACGGAUCUCUUGGCUCUC
rnacentral:misc_RNA from 1 species